AGCAAUGAACCAGCCGCCAGCUGAGCUGCUCAGGCAGAGCGAUCCCGGGCUGACUGAGCCCCGCUCAGUCCGGCUCGCUAUGCCCAAUUGCGACCAGGAGACUCUGAGGACACCCCCGGGCAUGCCCACCAACCGCCAGCUUAGCCGCUUGGGUGCCUGCAACAACAGACACUGCCUCGCCCCCGCCUCCCCCCGCCUCUGGCCUCUGUGCUGUGCAGCUACCUGGUUCCACACCACAGAGGCAAAGGGGGACAUAAAGGCCAUUGUCCUGAGCUACAGAAGUGAACAACAGAAAGAGGGCCUCUUUCAGGCUCCUUGAUGAAAACAAGCCCACUGGAAAAGUGAAGAGAAUCUCUCCAAUAAAGGCACACCAGACCACCAUACUUGCUCAUGUAGCUUCCACAUUUUUCUUCUUUGUAUGCUAUUUCUAAGGUCUCCACUCAAGGUUUCUCUUAUGAACGCAUCACUGAACUUGAAAGAAUUCUUAAGGAGGACUGGAAACCAUACUGCCUUAGGAUUCCUGCAUUUUCUGUUUGCUGUGGAUUAAAUAUUGUUUUCAUCUCCCUCAAAGGUUCAUGUGUUGGGAAGUUGGUCCCCCGAGUGGUAGUAACAGGAGGUGGGCUGGGCCUUAAGGGCUGGGUUGGUAGGUCAAUUAGAGGCAUGCCCUUCAGUGGGAUUGUGGGACCAUGGUUGGUUUUUCUGCUUCUUGGUUUGUUUUGUGAUCCUUCCUCCACCUGCUAUUGGUAACCCGCCAUAGGCCUGUGUCCAGAGCCAGAGGCCAUGCUAUGCCUCCAGAUCUAUGUGCUAAAUAGUUCUUCAUAAGUAG
ensembl:lncRNA